GUCAGAAACCAUAUGAUAUUCGUCACUGUUCACAUGAAAUAACAUGUUACUGACUCAUGAGUAAAGUGCCUUCUCCCAGUAACCCUUCUUCUCUCUUCCUCUUUGUUGGCACCCUUCGCAACCCAUCUUCCCCAAAAAAUAUCUCUCUACUCUCUUCUACAAAAGAAUUCCUGCACAGCAAAAUUAUAGCCUCUUGGUACUUACCUAUCUACUUCCUUCAUACCUUGACCUCACAAUCCCUUCUCCUUUCGAGGCGAAUCUCCUAUCCUCAUGAGCCUCCUCAAGGCCGUGUGCUCCAUGGUCCAUACAUGGAUCAGCUUUACCGAUUCCUCUAGUACAAGCCUAUGGAAGGGUAGUUGUUUGAUCGGCCUUGUCAUGCCCCUAUGAUCUGCCUCCCUUAUCUCAGCCUCAAUUAUAAACCAACCAUGCCCAAAACCAGAAUAUGCACGAGAUCUACUUCUUGCACACGUCUUCGCAUUGAGUUGGGACACAAAACACUUGCAAUGUCCAGAUACGCUAUCACCGGGUCGACAACGCGCUCCUUUAGGUGAUACUACCUAAGAUCUUCCAUUCGUGGUUCCAGGGAGGUAUGAUUGCACUUUCAUCGAACCCUUUUCAAGUGGAUCCUUACUUAAAAUAAAUUUCACAAAUUGAUUACAUUAUCAUAUUAGUCUUAUUAGAAUAUUUGGUUAUUCUUGCAUUUUUUACCAUGUUAGAAUAUUAGUUAAGCUUCUAUAUGAGCUAUUAAUACACAAGGAAUGUAUAUGUGCUGAGAAGUAGUAAACUACUAACCAUUAGGUGUCUAGCCUUUUGGAUUGCAUAUUCUUAUUUUUACAUAUUUGUUACAUUAUUAUAUUAAAAUAUUUGGUUAUUCCUAUAUUUGUGUCAAGAGGGCGGCUGCUAGUGUUAUGUAAUCAAUCCAUGAUUAGUUAUAAAAGAAGAUCGAGCUAUAAUAUGAGCAAAUAAUGUAAAAAAAUGGUAGGAUUUAAGUCAUUAAUGUAAUAAAGGUCAAAUAAUUUCUAUGUAAAGCACUUGGCUAUCUCUAUAAGGAGCCCUCUGUUUUUGAAAUGAGAAAUCAAGAGAUUAUCUACCUAAUAUGUCGUCGAGAUUGGACUUUAAAGGACCUACUUCCUUAAAGCCCAAUUACAUUAUAGUACUCCUGCAUCACAGGGCAAUAUUAUUAUCAAGUUGGCUACAAAUCUUAUGAAUAAUGUUAUCAAAUAUCACGCCCCAAACCCGAAACAACUAUAAUUUGUCAAAAAUUUUACUCUUACAGAACCUGCUUAAAACUUCUAUACCACAAUAGUUUCUUUAUCUAUAAUAUAUGGUUAUUAUUAUACAAGGAGUGUCUAUGUGCUGAAUAGUUUAGAAGUAGUAAACUACUAACCAUUAGCUGUCUAGCUUUUUGGAUUGCAUAUUCUUAUUUUUGCAUUGAGUAGUUCUUUAUGGAUGAUGCUGAGGUCUAGCAUGAUCAUGACCUAUGGGCAGAUGGGUUGGAGGAGAUGUUGGUAGACAUUCUCUACCAAGAAACCAUUGAGGUAAAAUUGGUUGGGUCGAAAAUCACCAGCUGAGAUCAUGUAAGACAUGCAACAAAGAUGACAAUGGGUUGGAACUAGCAAACAAAAAUCGUAAUUGCCACGGAGGAACAUUGGGCUAAUGCAAUACAGUGUGUAGCCAAAGGAGGAAUUUCAAGACAAACAGCUAUAGAGAAUACGAUCUCCUCUACACCAUUUUUGGUCAGUUGCCACAUGAGUCCUCCACUAUGCCUCCAACGCAAGAACCCCCCACGUGUGAGGAGGAGCAUCGCCUUGAGGAAGAGCUGAGGGCAUAGGCCCCUGUACUAGGAACUGCCACGGAUGCGCCAAUAAACAUAGAUGCGCUGGACAUAGAUAUAGAUGGGUUGUAUGGGAGACAGGCAGCCCAUGCAAGGAGUACUUGUCAGCGAAGAAGGGAGGCAUCCUGAGGUGGCGAAGUGUUCUUGGGCUAGUUGUUCUAGAAACUGCAGAAUGGAGGAAGGAAGUGAUUAGGAUUAUGAACCCCGACUGGAGGCCAACAAUGCAACCGAAGGUGCAUCCAGUAGUAACUAGUAUCCAACGUGGGACGAAUACUAGGAUUGGAGGAUGCAUGAUCCCUCAAUGUGGGAUCACAUAGCCAUUCUAAUGGUUGCUGCAGAAGAGGAGGAAUCUAUGGAACCAAAAGUUGAGCAAAUGCUGAAGCAUAACAUUAGCUUAUGCAGACGAGACUAUAUAGUCGCAAUCCUCAAUAGACAUCCAAAGAAUUGUUAUAACAUGUUCCAGAUGGAAAUAUAUGCGUUUCAUGUGUCAUGCAAUACGUUACACGCAAAUGCCAUUAUGGAAUCGAUAAGAGGGGCUUUUGUGAAAGAAGCUGUUACAGACAAUUAAUCCGAAUCGUUAUGAUGGACAGACAAUUAAAGAUAACCUAACUCAUCUUGUGUGCUCUUGACAUGUCACCUGCAUCAGUACAAGCCAUGCCUGCAAUUAGGGAAUCUGUCACACUACCUAUGUGGGCACAUAGGACUACGAAUUAAUAGUCAUAAUAUUGUUUAUGGUAUUGUAUGACCAUUUUUGUAAGUGUGGAACAUGUUUUGGAAAUUGGAGGCUUUAUGUCAUUAAAUAUAAAUAUUUUUUUAUUAGCUAACAUGUUAAAUGAGAAAUGCAAUUGAUGUGAAGUUGGAUGUA